UCCCUGACAACUCAGUUGGUAAAGCGUCUGCCUGCAAUGCAGGAGACCCAGGUUCGAUCCCUGGGUUGGGAA
rnacentral:tRNA from 1 species